AUAUCAAUAAGCGGAGGAAAAGAAACCAACAGGGAUUGCCCCAGUAACGGCGAGUGAAGCGGCAACAGCUCAAAUUUGAAAUCUGGCCCCUCCGGGGGUUCGAGUUGUAAUUUGCAGAGGAUGCUUCGGCGUCGGCCCCGGGCUAAGUCCCCUGGAACGAGGCGCCCUAGAGGGUGAGAGCCCCGUACUCGCCCGGGUGUCCUUCGCCGUGUGAAGCUCCUUCGACGAGUCGAGUUGUUUGGGAAUGCAGCUCUAAGCGGGAGGUAUAUUUCUUCUAAAGCUAAAUACCGGCCAGAGACCGAUAGCGCACAAGUAGAGUGAUCGAAAGAUGAAAAGCACUUUGGAAAGAGAGUUAAAAAGCACGUGAAAUUGUUGAAAGGGAAGCUCUUGCCGCCAGACUUGCCGCGGUUGCUCAGCCGCCUCCCGGGGUGGUGCACUCUUCCGUCGGCAGGCCAGCGUCGGUUCGGGCGACCGGAUAAAGGCCCUUGGGAAUGUAGCAUCCUCCGGGGUGUGUUAUAGCCCGGGGUGCAAUGCGGUCAGCCCGGUCCGAGGCGCGCGUUCGCGAGGACGCUGGCGUAAUGGUCGCAAGCGACCCGUCUUGAAACACGGACCAAGGAGUCUAACAUCUGUGCGAGUGUUUGGGUCUCAAACCCACGCGCGUAAUGAAAGUGAACGGAGGUGGGAACCCCCGCUCGAGGGGCGCACCAUCGACCGAUCCUGAUGUCUUCGGAUGGAUUCGAGUAAGAGCAUAGCUGUUGGGACCCGAAAGAUGGUGAACUAUUCCCGGAUAGGGUGAAGCCAGAGGAAACUCUGGUGGAGGCUCGCAGCGGUUCUGACGUGCAAAUC
rnacentral:rRNA from 1 species